AAGGAAGACGUUUGAGAUGCGCGCGCAUGCACACAAGCGAUGUCAAUUACACUUUGAAGGAUAACUGUGUGUGUUUGUUUUUUGCUUGCCACUUAAAUUAUCAAUCAGAUGGUGUAAACAUGAUGACCCAGUGCUUAUGCCAGAUCUGCGCCUGCAGAUAAGACUUUUUUCAAGUAGCCUUUUGCCGAAAAAGUGAAGGCUUCAUGUCGGCAUUAAUGUCCAUAUCCCCACCUGCUGUCAUCCCCACCUCCUGCUCUGACUCAGCGUGUGUGCACACAGAUUACAGUGACAAGUUCCACUUUACAGGAACUGUGGCUCCUCAGGCGUCCAAAAAAGUUAACAAUGAGUUCAAGCCGUUGGAUGGUGACAUGUCCAAUACCACCACCUUCAGAGUGGGAGAAAGAGUUCCUGCGAGGUAUUUACGACCGUCAAAAACUGUCCAACUCCCGCAAGAGAGGGGGGCUCUUGAAACCUUUGGUUAGCUGGCACCUUUGAUCUCCAUCCAGGAGGGCAAGUCCUGACAACUCUAAAGCCGUAUUACCAACACUAGUUCCUGAUAAAAACAAUACUUAUUUCAAAGUGGAAGAAUAAAAGAUGUGUUCUGAAAAUGUGGAAUAAGUUAAAUUGCCUUGGGGGGUAUGAUCUAAGAAUUCAAUUCGGGAAAGUCGUAUUCCUGGUUGUAAUGCUGGCGAGUUACCGCCGCUCUGAUAUCCAAAAGUUAUUUCCAGCUGUAUGUAAUAACAAAAAAACCUUCUGGGCUAAUGUAAGAAAUAACACAGACAAAAAACUAAAUCCAGCAAAGUUGCUUCGGAGCUAGAGGCAGAGCUGCCAUGUCUGUCGGCGCUAUCUUUACUUGUUUGGACCACAGACUUUGUCUUGUGCUCAACAUACUACAGCAAGAACAACUUAUUACCCUGCUGACCACCAUCAUAGACACAAUAUCAACUCACCACUGUAGCAGACAAAAGGGAAACUGUCAUUGCAGUUCAGUGUAAUACUGAUAAGACUGUUUAUUGUAUUGAAGUGUGACAGUGCUGAUUCAAGUCAAUAAUGUAGAAAAUACAUAUUCACCACUUGAAGAUGAAGGUGCAGUUGUUCCAUCUUGAGUGGUUGUAGGUUCAGUUGUUGGGAACAUGGCUGUUGUUAUACGGUGCACUUGGGAAAGUAUUCAGACCCCUUGACAUUUUCCACAUUUUGUUACAUUACAGACUCAUUCUAAAAUUGUUUAAAUAGUUUUAUUCCGUCGUCAAUAUACAUACAAUAGCCCAUAACAACAAAGCAAAACAGAUGUAGAAAUUUGUGCAAAACCCCCCCCCAAAAAAACACUGAUAUAUUACAUUUACAUAAGAAUUCCGACCCUUUACUCAGUACUUUGUUGACGCAUCUUUGGCAGCAUUUACAGCCCCGAGUCUUCUUGGG